rnacentral:lncRNA from 1 species
UAAAGUUAAGGAAUAGUAAAAGCACACUGACUUUUAACAAUUAUAUUGCACUAACCGAGAGUUCUUUAAUCUGAUGAAGCAUAGUUGAGUUGUUCACUAUUGGUGAUGCUCUUAGUGUUCGCUGGGAAUCACUGCAAGAAGGCGAGUAACGUGCGUGACUACUCAAAAGCUUGAAUUUGAAGCUUUACAAAAUUCAUGGCGACAUCACAUUGGUAUAUGAGAAACCUAGAGGGAACACAUAUCCAAACCGGCACUCUUUCCUUCUACAUGCCAAACAAUUGCUGAAAUUUAUGACUUUUGAUUACUAUUUUUCUUAUGCUUGAUACAUGAUUGCUUUGUUUUGAAUUAUCUUAUUGGUGU